rfam:Acetobacteraceae bacterium SCN 69-10 ABS99_C0134, whole genome shotgun sequence.
CUUCCUCGACCUGUUGCGGGCAGAUGAAGUGGAUAUGGGCGUCGAUGCCGCCGGCGGUGAGGAUCUUGCCUUCGCCGGCGAUGAUUUCGGUGCCGGGGCCGAUGAUGAUGGUGACGCCGGGCUGGAUGUCGGGGUUGCCGGCCUUGCCGAUGGCGGCGAUGCGGCCGUUGAUGAUCGAGACAUCGGCUUUGACGAUGCCCCAGUGGUCGAUGAUCAGCGCGUUGGUGAUGACGGUGUCGGCGGCGCCCUCGGCCUGGGAGGCUUGGGACUGGCCCAUGCCGUCGCGGAUG